UACGUAGGGACCAAGCGUUGUUCGGAUUUACUGGGCGUAAAGGGCGCGUAGGCGGCGUGGUAAGUCACUUGUGAAAUCUCUGAGCUUAACUCAGAACGGCCAAGUGAUACUGCUGUGCUAGAGUGCAGAAGGGGCAAUCGGAAUUCUUGGUGUAGCGGUGAAAUGCGUAGAUAUCCGGAAGAACACCGGUGGCGAAGGCGGCCUGCUGGGCAGUAGCUGACACUGAGGCGCGACAGCGUGGGGAGCAAACAGG
rnacentral:rRNA from 1 species